AUGCAAAAGCAUUUCAGUUCAAUUCUCGUUUAUCAUGUAUGAUUGCUCUGUUUGCGCUAAGUGCUUAAUGACGAACUUGGUAAGUCUUGGCCUUAUGCCUCUAGGCAUCAACAAUCUGCAUAAGCUGAAUAAAACAACUAAAUGUACUCAUAUUGGCAAAUAUGUGAUAUACUUCCAAUAAGAACAAAGUGAACAAACUUGUUACUAUUUACACAAUAUGAAUAAAUCGUUAUGUAUGCUGCAUUAAUUUUUACUGAAAGCCACUGAAGGAACGAGACACAAUCAUGUUUUAAAUCAAUAAAUUGGACAAAUUUUCCAAUAGAAACUUUACAUUUGAGAUGAUCCAAUCAUAUCUGAACAUAUGUGUUUCUUUAUUCCUGUAUCUAUUAUUCCAGGCUCCUCCUUUGCAAGUGAAUGGCUCAGAUGAUGUGCCCUCAAAACUGUUUCUUCAAGUAGACUAAAUACUGAAUUUAUCAUAACACUAAGCAUAUUAGUAUUAAAGUUGCUGCCAUUCAAUCAAAUUAUCCUAUUCUAGACUUUUGCUUAAAAAUGAUUUUUGACUUUGCUUUUCACCAAGUGCAUUUUAAUGGCUUUUGGCAUUGUUUUUCAUGAAUAACUAACUCAUAAACUUCUAUAAAAUAGAAAACAUGGAAUAUAUUGACUAAAAUCUUAAGCCAUCUUUGGAAGACUAGAUGGCAUAUGAAGUACACCCUAAGUCCAUAACUCCGACAGAUAAGAACCUAAACUCAGGGAACCAUGUAAAAUUUCCUGAAUCUUAUGCAAAAUUUUUUGAGAUAAAAAAAGAUUUUAAGCAAAACUAUAUGCAUAAUGUGACUUAUACAUGCAUGCGGUAAACAAAAUGUAGUAUCUUUCAACCCAAUGGAUUAUCAUAGUUUAUAACUUACCUGUUUAAGCACUGGUGACAGAGUAUUGUAUAGGAUCACCAGAUGGUUCAGCAAAAACAGCAGCUUCAUGAAUAUUUUCAGAAAAAUCUCUGAGAUUGUGCUCUUGCAAAUGCCUCAAGUGCCUCACAUUCCCAUCUUCCAAGAAGGGCCCCACACGACCUGAGCUUUUAUCCUCACAAGCUGUUUGCGAGUAACUUGAUCCAUCACACAAAUGACACUCUUGAGCAUAACUAUAAGCAGCUUCACUGAAAACAACAUUUGUUUCUUCUAAUGUACACAGUUCCUUGUAUGCAGGCCAAAAUAACAGAUCGAUAAACAAUGCCUUCCUUAAGUGUUUGACUGAUUUUUCAUUCCUACUGGUAUACCUAAAAGGAACAGAUCAGAAAACCAACAGCACAUGAGAAGUUGAUAUGUUUAACAAGUUGAUGAACUAAAAUGCAUUAGAUCCUACCUGGAAAAGAACAUGGAGACAUAAGAGGGUUGUAGCACUAACAUAUCUAGCUGAUAAAUUAAUCAUCCAUGCUAAUAAAUAUGUAAUGUUAAAAUAUAGAAGCCUAUACCCAUCCCCAUGCAUAUUAACCAUGGUCUUCACAAGAAGCUCACAUGAAAGCUUUAUUCAUGAUGUAUUAAGGCUUAGAUAUGCAUGUUGUCAAUGAAAUCAGCCCAAUCAGAUCCAGCAUGAUCCCACAUGGGAAGCUUGCGUGCUUGAAUAUAUUGCUAAAUUGAUCAGAAAGGCAGAAGUAAACUCAAACAAAUUGUUGGCAUUGAGUGGGAAUAGCUCAAUGAGCCAGCAUCCUGUCCAGAUCCCUUCGACCCAUGACGUUUGGGCUACUAUGCUAUAAGGAGUUAGAGUUGCACCUCUG
rnacentral:misc_RNA from 1 species